CGUGCCUAACACAUGCAAGUCAACUUGACUGAAGGAGCAAUCUGACAGUAGAGUGGCGCAAGGGUGCGUAACGCGUAAGUAACUUGCCCAAGGUAAGGAAUAACGUCGAGAAAUCGGCGCUAAUACCUCAUAAUGCAGCGGAUCCGCAUGGAUAUGUUGUUAAAGGUUUACCGCCUUGGGAUAGGCUUGCGUCUGAUUAGUUAGUUGGUGUGGUAACGGCACACCAAGGCUACGAUCAGUAACUGGUCUGAGAGGAUGAUCAGUCACACUGGAACUGAGACACGGUCCAGACUCCUACGGGAGGCAGCAGUGAGGAAUAUUGGGCAAUGCUCGAAAGAGUGACCCAGCAACGCCGCGUGGAGGAUGAAAGUAUUCUAUAUCGUAAACUCCUGUGAGAGCAGACGAAAGACAGAUUAUUAAUCUGGAUGACUGUAUGCUCAGAGGAAGCCCCGGCUAACUACGUG
rnacentral:rRNA from 1 species